UACGGGGGGUGCGAGCGUUGUCCGGAAUCACUGGGCGUAAAGGGCGCGUAGGUGGUUUGAUAAGGGUGUGGUGAAAGCCCGGGGCUCAACCCCGGGUCUGCCGUGCCGACUGUCAAACUCGAGGGCUGUAGAGGCAGACGGAAUUCCUGGUGUAGCGGUGAAAUGCGCAGAUAUCAGGAGGAACACCGGUGGCGAAGGCGGGUCUCUGGGCCGAUACUGACGCUGAGGAGCGAAAGCGUGGGGAGCGAACAGG
rnacentral:rRNA from 1 species